GACGAACGCUGGCGGCGUGCUUAACACAUGCAAGUCGAACGGAAAGGCCCUGCUUUUGUGGGGUGCUCGAGUGGCGAACGGGUGAGUAACACGUGAGUAACCUGCCCUUGACUUUGGUAUAACUUCAGGAAACUGGGGCUAAUACCGGAUAGGAGCUCCUGCUGCAUGGUGGGGGUUGGAAAGUUUCGGCGGUUGGGGAUGGACUCGCGGCUUAUCAGCUUGUUGGUGGGGUAGUGGCUUACCAAGGCUUUGACGGGUAGCCGGCCUGAGAGGGUGACCGGCCACAUUGGACUGAGAUACGGCCCAGACUCCUACGGGAGGCAGCAGUGGGGAAUAUUGCACAAUGGGCGGAAGCCUGAUGCAGCAACGCCGCGUGCGGGAUGACGGCCUUCGGGUUGUAAACCGCUUUCGCCUGUGACGAAGCGUGAGUGACGGUAAUGGGUAAAGAAGCACCGGCUAACUACGUG
rnacentral:rRNA from 1 species